CGCUGGCGGCGUGCCUAACACAUGCAAGUCAAACGGGGUAGCAAUACCUAGUGGCAGACGGGUGAGUAACGCGUGGUCAACCUACCCUUUAGCGGGGGAUAACUAGCCGAAAGGUUAGCUAAUACCGCAUGAAACAUAGCCGGGCAUCCGGCAAUGUUGAAAGAAGCAAUUCGCUUUUGGAUGGGACCGCGUCCGAUUAGUUAGUUGGUGGGGUAACGGCCUACCAAGACUCCGAUCGGUAGCUGGUUUGAGAGAGCGACCAGCCACACUGGGACUGAGAAACGGCCCAGACUCCUACGGGAGGCAGCAGUGAGGAAUUUUCCGCAAUGGGCGAAAGCCUGACGGAGCGACGCCGCGUGUGGGAAGAAGGCCUUCGGGUCGUAAACCACUGUCNAAGGGGACUAUAUUGAAGGUACCCUUGGAGGAAGCCCCGGCU
rnacentral:rRNA from 1 species